rnacentral:ncRNA from 19 species
GCUUUAUCAAGAGCGGUGGAGGGACUGGCCCUAUGAAGCCCAGCAACCAGUAUUGUUUUUUAAUACAUUGGUGCUAAUUCCUACAGCUUAAGCUGAAAGAUAGGGG